AUGAUGGCGCUGCACUCCAGCCUGCGCGACAGAGUAAAACGUCUCAGAAAACAAAAGUCUCAGGGCUGCAUCCUGGCCAUGGUGCAGAGGCAUCCAGUAAGCGUCCUUGAAUCUAGGAGCCACCAGGAGGACUCCCCCUGGACUUUGCUGUCAGGCUUGUUCCACUGUAGAGCUGUGCUCAUUUCUUCCCGUCAUGAGCAGCUGGGCUGGGGGCCUCAGGGUGAGGACCAUGUCCCCACCCACCUCCUCUUUAGCAGGGCAACGGUGAGUAUUCCCAGUAUUCACACCCCUCACACUAGCAGCCAGGAGCCAGUUCUUGACUUAUGGCCAAGAAAAUCACUUGUUUCCUGGCGUGGCUGUGGCCUGGGAUGCCCCAUAUUCAGGGGCAGCCACUUCCUCCUGCCCACCCCUUCUAACUCUGCCCAACAAAUGGGAUGAGUGUCCCUGCUCCACUGGCUGCUCUUCCUCUUUCCCCAAAUGGUUUAUUUUGCUAGAAUAGUCUUUUCCUACCAACUCUGAGCUUGAUGCAGACACUUACCUAAGUCUUCAUCUCAGAGUGGAGCCAGGGCAAAAGAGGAAUUCAAGCGGGAACGAGGAAUCCGAGAACAUGCGACUGCUGGAUGGAACAAGCGAAGCUUCAUCAGUCCCCAAACUGAUGAGCCCGCAUGCAGCUCUGUCCAAAAUGUGCUGAGAACACCAACGCUCCACCGUCCCGUACCAUUCAUUACACUGCAGGGAGGAACCAAGAAUCUCUUUCCUUAAUCUGGUAUCUCAGCUAAGCAGGGCACUCUUCCCAGAACCUUGCCAGAGUCCAGUUUUCUGCAUUCUGUGUUUGUUCUCCCUUCAUUAUGAACCCUGAGCAGAUGAAGCUAUUUUUUCCCCUUUCGAUUUCUUAGUAACUAGGCCAAGUACAAGGCUCACGGGGGGAUUGAAUAAAUACUGAAAACUUGCCUGCAAGAGGCAACAUUCUUCUCAGUUGUUGAGGUCGUCACGGGCCAGGCUUCAAUUGGUUCUUCCCACCCCUACUCCAUUCCUUCUCAAAAGCAAAACCCCUGUAACUCGAUCAAGACUGUUGAAGGCAAGGGAAAAAAAAAAA